GAAUCCUCCGAUCGAGAAGACCAGCGCCGGGACCGUGUACUUGGCGGUGCACCGAGGAGGUGCCUUGUCGCUGGGGAAAGGCUUCAUCGUCCACUCAUUGACCUUCUUCAUGGCUGGGGGGUCAUGCUUUCUGCAGUAAGACGUUGGAUCUCUUGCUUGUUUCGGAGCAAAGAGGUCUGCUCAAGUUGCUCACGGCUUCAUCUGCGACAAUUUUUGGAGCUACAGCAUUUCCCUCAUCAUCUUCAACCCCUGCACAAAACAGAAGAUUUGAACCAUCACCGGCUGAUUCAGCUAAUUUUUCUGAGGAAGAUCCAGCUUUCUUCACCACCUCUUUGGGUUUUUCUUGAAUUCACAUCAAAGUUUGGAUCUUAGCCACAAUCUCUC